rnacentral:rRNA from 1 species
UACAGAGGGUGCGAGCGUUAAUCGGAAUUACUGGGCGUAAAGCGUGCGUAGACGGUUAUCUAAGUCGGGUGUGAAAGCCCCGGGCUCAACCUGGGAAUUGCAUUCGAGACUGAAUAGCUAGGGUACGGUAGAGGGAAGUGGAAUUUCCGGUGUAGCGGUGAAAUGCGUAGAUAUCGGAAGGAACAUCAGUGGCGAAAGCGACUUCCUGGACCAGUACCGACGUCAGGCACGAAAGCGUGGGGAGCAAACAGG